GCCCAUGGACAGAGGAGCCUGGCGGGCUACGGUCCAUACAAUCACAAAGAGUUGGAGACGACUGAAGCAACUUAGCGUGGGAGUUUUUAAAGAGCUCCUCAGAUGACUCUAGUCCUUAGCCAGGGGCUUCCCAGGUGAUGCUGGAGGUAAAGAACCCGUCUGCUAAUGCAGGAGACGUAAGAGAUACAGGUUCGAUCCCUGGGUUCAGGAAGAUCUUCUGGAGGAGGAAAUAGAAGUUUUGGUUUUAUAUUAUAUUUAGGGAAGUGGGAGCAAGGAAGCACGGAAAACUGUCUCUGGAGGAGAUUGGAAGAUGAAGACACAGCAAUGCAGCUUUUAUAUGUUCUAGUUCACCCUUGUGUUGCUUAGGAUUCUUAUUUAUUACUUAAUAGUAAAAGGCCAAAUAUAAUCC
ensembl:lncRNA